UACGUAGGGUGCGAGCGUUAAUCGGAAUUACUGGGCGUAAAGUGUGCGCAGGUGGCCGCGCAUGUCGAGUGUGAAAUCCCCGGGCUUAACUUGGGAAUUGCGCUCGAAACUACGUGGCUCGAGUGUGGCAGAGGAAGGUGGAAUUCCACGUGUAGCGGUGAAAUGCGUAGAGAUCUGGAAGAACACCAAAGGCGAAGGCAGCAUCCUGGGAAGUUCCUGACGCUCGGGUGCGAAAGCCAGGGGAGCGAACGGG
rnacentral:rRNA from 1 species